rnacentral:rRNA from 1 species
GAUGAACGCUGGCGGCGUGCUUAACACAUGCAAGUCGAGCGAUGAAGUUUCCUUCGGGAAACGGAUUAGCGGCGAACGGGUGAGUAACACGUGGGUAACCUGCCUCAUAGAGUGGAAUAGCCUUCCGAAAGGAAGGUUAAUACCGCAUAAUGUUGAAAGAUGGCAUCAUCAUUUAACCAAAGGAGCAAUCCGCUAUGAGAUGGACCCGCGGCGCAUUAGCUAGUUGGUGGGGUAACGGCCUACCAAGGCGACGAUGCGUAGCCGACCUGAGAGGGUGAACGGCCACAAGGGGACUGAGACACGGCCCUU